rnacentral:lncRNA from 1 species
GAGAAGUGAAGGGAGAUGAGGUCAGAGAAGUGGUGUGGAAUUGGGGAUGAAGGGUGAUCACAUCAUAAGCCAUAUGUGGUUAUUGAACACUUGAAAUGUUGCCAAUGCACCUGAGGAACUGAAUUUUUAAAUUUAAUAGAAUUUUAAUUUAAGCAGUAACAUAUGGCUAGCGUAUUGGUCAGAAAAAUUUUAUACAUUUUCACAGGUUGCUUUAUGGAGAAUAGUAUGUGGAAGCAAAGAGGCAAAAGCAGGGAGAAGCCUUAGGAAUGCAGAUCAAGGCUUAGCAAAAAUUUUUUUUCUUAUAAAGGGCUAGCUAGUAACUAUAUUAGGGUUUACAUUUCCUUUUUCUUGUUUGUUUGUUUUGAGAUCGAGUUUCACUCUUAUCACCCAGGCUGGAGUACAAUGGCGCGAUCUCAGCUCACUGAAACCUCCGCCUCCUGGGUUCAAGUGAUUCUCCUGCCUCAGCCUCCCGAGUAGCUGGGACUACAAGCCCCCACCACCACAUCCAGCUAAUUUUUGUAUUUUUAGUAGAGACAGAGUUUCAUCAUGUUGGCCAGACUGGUAUCAAACUGCAGACCUCAGGUUAUCCAGCCACCUCAGCCGUCCAAAGUGCUGGGAUUACAGGCGUGAACCACUGUGUCUGGCCAGGGUUGACAUUUCAUAGGGACUCUAUGACAACUACUGAAGUAUACUAUUGACAGUAUGUAAAUGAACUAGCAUGGUUGUGUUUCAAUGAAAGUUUAUUCAUUCAUUGGUCAGAUUUGGCCCAUAGGUUGUUGUUUACCAACUCCUGGUGUGAAUGAGAGGUGCGAUGACCAGGCUUAUUUCAAAGGUAGACUUGACAGGAUUUAUUGGUGGAUUGCAUGUGUGGUGUAAAAGACAGAGGAAAUUCAAACAAAUAACUUAAAGGUGUUUGGACUCCACAUUUGACAAAAAGGAGUUGCUAUUCACUGUGAUGGGAAAGACUUGGAUAGAAGCAGAUUUGGGAGAAACUGUUAAAUUUGGCUUGAAGUUUAAGAUGUCUGUCAGUUAU